rnacentral:tRNA from 1 species
UGGGGGCGUAGCUCAGUUGGUAGAGCACCUGCUUUGCAAGCAGGGGGUCGUCGGUUCGAAUCCGGUCGCCUCCAU